rnacentral:lncRNA from 1 species
GUGGUAACGCGUGGUAACGCGUUGUUAAAAUUUGAAUUUGGAGCGAAAACAGGUGGCCCAUGCAUAUACAUUAAUUAAACUAAUCCGAAUGGCUAAUUUCCAGUUUGAGAACGAGGUUGUUUACAUGUUGGCGUUGUUCUUGAAUUUACAUAGUACUUUAAAAUAGAAAAAUCUUGAUUUGCGAUGGUUGCAUGAUAUUCAUUCUUCAUUAUCGAUAUAUCUUUUUCGAAUCGAAGGCAAGCUUGCGAAGGAACAUUAGUUGCCGGCAAGGUAUGGAUUUUAACUUAACUUGGACAAACUAUCGCAUAAUAUAAUACUUGUAUAUCGGCAUGUAUACUACAUGUAGUCCAAAUAUGUUAUGCAAAUUUUGUUCGUAUACAUUAACAUAAGCGCUGCGAAAGAAAAUAUUAUGCAGUAAAUAGCCAAAACCUGCGCUUGAUUUUCCCCAAUUUUCAGACUGUCUUAAAAAUUGAUAAGACUUAGUUAAUAGCAUCUCGAAGUUUUUUUGAAAUCACUUUGUGUGCAUGUGUAGUAGUCACUGUAGAUGAUACUAUUGGGGUUAUUGUUCACACGUAGAAUAGUACAGUGCUGCCAAGUUGACCAGGGGGGGGGAGAUAUAAAAGAUAUGGUGGGAGAUCCAAGAAAUAUCACUAUAUGUUUGGUAGACGAUUAUAUUAGAAAUUAAGAAAACUUAGAUGGCAGCAGCUCGAAGUUAUUUGAAAUAAUGUUAUGUGCGGCACAAUAGCUGUGGGCGGGGUGGGGGGAGGGGGGGGGAGGAGAAUAUAGUGGGGGCAAGUAUUAAAUAUUUAAGGAAUUUUUGUGAAGUAAAAGAAGCGUCUUACUAUUCACUAUAAUUUGGAUAGUAUUGUUAGGGCCAUACAAAGAUCUCUACGUUAUAUAAUGGUUCCAUAUCAAGUCUUCUUCUGAGCCGGAUGGGUUGGGGGGGAGGGGCGGUGGAGAGGGGAGGGAUGUCGAAUACAUCCUUGGAUCGGUCCGUUAAGUUAGAGAUUUAACCGUGCAUAGUUCUUAGAUAAAGUCCUAUAACUUCACAUGGAUUAAUAAUACUUUAGUUACUCAAGUUAAUUAAUGGAUAAUUGAAUGUUGAUGAAACUAUAAGCAUUUUUUAAUUAAUUUUUGAUUACUUGGUGGGGUCAAAGUUUUAAUUUAUUCAAGUUACCAUAAACUAAUGUUUAAUAUGGCUUUUGAAAUAUAAAUUACUAAAGCAACGUGUUACCACGCAUUGCCACAUGCGUUACCAUGUACUAAUAGUUUUAUAAUAUGGCUUUUCUAUUACGAACAGAACACAUUACCACGCGUUACCACGCGUUACCACGCGUUACCAUACGCGUUACCAUGUACUAAUUGUCUAUUUGGCUUUUCUGUUACUAAAACAAUGCAUUUCCAUGCGUUAUCUCAGAUAACCAUACGCGUUAACGCCUAGUAAUUCUAUUCAUUAUGGUAUUUUGUUGAUAAAGCAACGCGUUACCACGCGUUACCAUCAAGUUUUUAAUAAAAUGUAUAUAGUAGUUUUUUUUAAAUAAAAGAUGGUAACGCGUGGUAACGCGUGCGCAACUGAUGGUAACGCGUUGUUAGUCAUUGCUUGCAUAUCGAUCUUGUAGUUUUGAACCAUUAGAAAUGAACUUUUAUUGCGGAAGUUUUAUUGUAGCAAUAAUAACUAUUUGAUAUUAGUGGUAACACGUAUGGUAACGCGUGGUAACGCGUGGUAACGCGUUGUUAAAAUUUGAAUUUGGAGCGAAAACAGGUAGCCCAUGCAUAUACAUUAAUUAAACUAAUCCGAAUGGCUAAUUUCCAGUUUGAGAACGAGGUUGUUUACAUGUUGGCGUUGUUCUUGAAUUUACAUAGUACUUUAAAAUAGAAAUAUCUUGAUUUGUGAUGGUUGCAUGUUAUUCAUUCUUCAUUAUCGAUAUAUUUUUUCGAAUCGAAGGCAAGCUUGCGAAGGAACGUCAGAUGCAUGUAAGGCAUGGAUUUUAACUAACUUGGACAAACUAUCGCAUAAUAUAAUACUUGUAUAUCGGCAUGUAUACCACGUAGUCCAAAUAUGUUAUGCAAAUUUUGUUCGUAUACAUUAACAUAAGCGCUGGCAAAGAAAAUAUUAUGCAAUAAAUAGCCAAAACCUGUGUUCGAAUUUCCCCAAUUUUCAGACAAUCGUCCACAAAAUAUUUGAGACAAACCCCUUCCCCCGAUUUCAAUGUUGCUAGGCACUACAAUAUAGUUUAAUGCCAACAUCAUAUGUUAAAUUUCAACUGCCAGUGACACAGUUGCGGUGCUAGUGUCACCUUAUGUUCGUUAUGGAUAAGUACAGUAGGUUUCAACAUUGAAAUAAGGGGGGAGGGGAUUGAUUUAAAAAGUCUCAAUAUAUUUUGUGGACGAUUGUCUUAAAAAUUGAUAAGACUUAGUUAAAAGCAUCUCGAAGUUUUUUUGAAAUCACUUUGUGUGCAUGUGUAGUAGUCACUGUAGAUGAUACUAUUCCGGUUAUUGUUCACAUGUAGAAUAGUACAGUACUGACAAGUCGACCAAGGGGGGGGGAGAUAUAAAAGAAAUGGGGGAGAGAUCCAAAAAAAUAUCACUAUAUGUUUGGUAGACGAUUAUAUUAGAAAUUAAGAAAACUUAGAUGGCAGCAGCUCGAAGUUAUUUGAAAUCAUGUUAUGUGCGGCACAAUAGCUGUGGG